rnacentral:lncRNA from 1 species
UUCUAGUCUUGGCUUUUUUCUAGUUUGCUACAUGAAAAAUGGGCAAAUCACUUCAUCUUUCCACUUUAACUUAGACCUCAGUUUCCCCAUCUGCAUCAUAAAGAGAAUUCCUCUUUUGAGAAGUUGAAUGGGGAUGGGAUGAGGAUACAUAAGAUCCUAUUUCUGCAAAGAUUUUGGAGAUGAGCUAUUAACUACAUAUGAGUAUACACAGCAUGCACCUGCUCUGCCUCUCACAUCCCUGUGUUCCAUUAUCCACUGAAGAUGUCAAGACUGACAGGCGAGAGCCAGACCUCAGGCCAGCUCCCCCUGACAGGACUCUCCUGAUGGCAGCAUCUGGACUGAGAGGAUGUUGGUGGAGAAGCUGCAUCAGCUUACAGAACAACAAACAAUUAGCACAGGGAAGGAGCUGGAGGUUUGAAAAGGUUCCACCUGCAGUUACCUGCCCAGGUCUGGCCACCCACCAUCAACCCCACCGAGGAAGAAUGAGGAACUAUGGGGACUGGAAGUAGGGAGGGAGGAGGGUAGGUUGGGGGAGGAGGAGAUCUUGUCUACGGAACUGGGAGCACUUAGGAAAAGAAAGGAUCUAUUUUUUUCCAUUUGUUCUCAGCAAACAUUUGUCAUU